rnacentral:rRNA from 1 species
GAUGAACGCUGGCGGCGUGCUUAACACAUGCAAGUCGAACGGAAAGGCUCCUGCUUGCUGGGGUACUCGAGUGGCGAACGGGUGAGUAACACGUGGGUGAUCUGCCCUGCACUUCGGGAUAAGCCUGGGAAACUGGGUCUAAUACCGGAUAGGACGAUGGUUUGGAUGCCAUUGUGGAAAGUUUUUCGGUGUGGGAUGAGCUCGCGGCCUAUCAGCUUGUUGGUGGGGUAAUGGCCUACCAAGGCGUCGACGGGUAGCCGGCCUGAGAGGGUGUACGGCCACAUUGGGACUGAGAUACGGCCCAGACUCCUACGGGAGGCAGCAGUGGGGAAUAUUGCACAAUGGGCGCAAGCCUGAUGCAGCGACGCCGCGUGGGGGAUGACGGCCUUCGGGUUGUAAACUCCUUUCGCUAGGGACGAAGCGCAAGUGACGGUACCUGGAGAAGAAGCACCGGCUAACUACGUG